GCUGGGCGCGGUGGCGCGCGCCUGUAUUCCCAGCUACUCGGGUGGCUGAGGCAGGAGGAUCGCUUGAGCCCAAGAGUUCUGGGCUGUAGUGCGCUAUGCCAAUUGGGUGUCCGCACUAAGUUCGGCAUCAAUAUGGUGACCUCCCGGGAGUGGGGGACCACCAGGUUGCCUAAAGAGGGGUGAACCGGCCCAGGUCAGAAGUGGCAGCUAGGGCUUGUUGCUAUUCUGUUCCGUUCAGGGGUGGUAACUACUGGGCAGCUUCCUCAGACUCGGGAUCCCCGCUCUU
rnacentral:SRP_RNA from 1 species